UACAGAGGGUGCGAGCGUUGUUCGGAAUUAUUGGGCGUAAAGCGCUGGUAGGUGGCUUGUUAAGUCGCGUGUGAAAGCUCCCGGCUCAACCGGGAAAGUGCGCGCGAAACUGGCGAGCUUGAGUGCCGGGGAGGGUCGCGGAAUUCCCAGUGUAGAGGUGAAAUUCGUAGAUAUUGGGAGGAACACCAGAGGCAGAGGCGGCGACCUGGGAGGUAACUGACACUGAGCAGCGAAAGCGUGGGGAGCAACAGG
rnacentral:rRNA from 1 species